AGCCCUGUAGUGUAGUUCACGUCGGAUUGCAAAUCCGAAGACGCAGGUUAAACUCUGCCCGGGCUU
rnacentral:tRNA from 2 species